UACAGAGGUCUCAAGCAUUGUUCGGAUUCAUUGGUCGUAAAGGGCGCGUAGGCGGCCGAUCAAGUCGGAGGUGAAAUCCCUCGGCUCAACUGAGGAAUUGCCUUCGAUACUGUUCGGCUUGAGUCCUGGAGAGGGUAGCGGAAUUCCCGGUGUAGCGGUGAAAUGCGUAGAGACCGGGAAGAACACCAGUGGCGAAGGCGGCUACCUGGACAGGUACUGACGCUGAAGCGCGAAAGCUAGGGGAGCAAACAGG
rnacentral:rRNA from 1 species